rnacentral:rRNA from 1 species
GAUGAACGCUGGCGGCGUGCUUAACACAUGCAAGUCGAACGGGAAAUAUUUCAUUGAGACUUCGGUGGAUUUGAUCUAUUUCUAGUGGCGGACGGGUGAGUAACGCGUGGGUAACCUGCCUUAUACAGGGGGAUAACAGUUAGAAAUGACUGCUAAUACCGCAUAAGACCACAGAGCCGCAUGGAUCGGUGGGAAAAACUCCGGUGGUAUGAGAUGGACCCGCGUCUGAUUAGGUAGUUGGUGGGGUAACGGCCUACCAAGCCAACGAUCAGUAGCCGACCUGAGAGGGUGACCGGCCACAUUGGGACUGAGACACGGCCCAAACUCCUACGGGAGGCAGCAGUGGGGAAUAUUGCACAAUGGGGGAAACCCUGAUGCAGCGACGCCGCGUGAACGAAGAAGUAUUUCGGUAUGUAAAGCUCUAUCAGCAGGGAAGAGAAUGACGGUACCUGACUAAGAAGCACCGGCUAAAUACGUGCCAGCAGCCGCGGUAAUACGUAUGGUGCAAGCGUUAUCCGGAUUUACUGGGUGUAAAGGGAGCGUAGACGGCUGUGUAAGUCUGAAGUGAAAGCCCGGGGCUCAACCCCGGGACUGCUUUGGAAACUAUGCAGCUAGAGUGUCGGAGAGGUAAGUGGAAUUCCCAGUGUAGCGGUGAAAUGCGUAGAUAUUGGGAGGAACACCAGUGGCGAAGGCGGCUUACUGGACGAUGACUGACGUUGAGGCUCGAAAGCGUGGGGAGCAAACAGGAUUAGAUACCCUGGUAGUCCAAGCCGUAAACGAU